rnacentral:rRNA from 1 species
CCUACGGGAGGCAGCAGUGGGGAAUAUUGGGCAAUGGGCGCAAGCCUGACCCAGCAACGCCGCGUGAAGGAAGAAGGCCUUCGGGUUGUAAACUUCUUUUCUCAGGGACGAAGCAAGUGACGGUACCUCAGGAAUAAGUCACUGCUAACUACGUGCCAGCCGCCGCCGUAAUACGUAGGGGCCAAGCGUUAUCCGGAUUUACUGGGUGUAAAGGGCGUGUAGGCGGGACUGCAAGUCAGAUGUGAAAACCACGGGCUCAACCUGGGGACUGCAUUUGAAACUGGAGUUCUUGAGUGCUGGAGAGGCAGACGGAAUUCCUGGUGUAGCGGUGAAAUGCGUAGAUAUCAGGAGGAACACCAGUGGCGAAGGC